GAAAUGCGAUAAGUAAUGUGAAUUGCAUAAUUCAGUGAAUCAUCGAAUCUUCGAACGCACAUUGCGCCCGCCAGUAUUCUGGCGGGCAUGCCUGUUCGAGCGUCAUUUCAACCAUCAAGCCCCCGGCUUGUGUUGGGGACCUGCGGCUGCCCGCAGGCCCUGAAAAACAGUGGCGGGCUCGCUGUCACACCGAGCGUAGUAGCAUACAUUCUCGCUCAGGGCGUGCUGCGGGUUCCGGCCGUUAAACGACCUUCAUAACCCAAGGUUGACCUCGGAUCAGGUAGGAAGACCCGCUGAACUUAAGC
rnacentral:misc_RNA from 1 species